UGCAGUCGAACGCGAAAGUCCCCUUCGGGGGAUGAGUAGAGUGGCGCACGGGUGAGUAGCACGUAGGUAAUCUACCUUUGGAUGGGGAAUAACCACCGGAAACGGUGGCUAAUACCGCAUAAUGCAGCGGCACCUAAUGGUGACAGUUGUUAAAGCGGGGGAUCGAAAGACCUCGCGUCUGAAGAGGAGCCUGCGGCGGAUUAGCUAGUUGGUAAGGUAAUGGCUUACAAAGGCGACGAUCCGUAACCGGCCUGAGAGGGCGGUCGGUCACACUGACACUGACAUACGGGUCAGACUCCUACGGGAGGCAGCAGUCGGGAAUUUUGGGCAAUGGGCGAAAGCCUGACCCAGCAACGCCGCGUGAAGGAUGAAAUCCCUCGGGAUGUAAACUUCGCAAGAACGGGAAGAAUAAGUAGGGGACAAUACCCCCUAUGAUGACGGUACCGUUUGUAAGCUCCGGCUAACUCCGUGCCAGCAGCCGCGGUAAUACGGGGGGAGCAAGCGUUGUUCGGAUUUACUGGGCGUAAAGGGCGCGUAGGCGGCCAGCACAAGUCAGUUGUGAAAUCUCCGAGCUUAACUCGGAAAGGUCAACUGAUACUGUGCGGCUAGAGUGCGGAAGGGGCAACUGGAAUUCUUGGUGUAGCGGUGAAAUGCGUAGAUAUCAAGAGGAACACCUGCGGCGAAGGCGGGUUGCUGGGCCGACACUGACGCUGAGGCGCGAAAGCUAGGGGAGCGAACGGGAUUAGAUACCCCGGUAGUCCUAGCCCUUAAACGAUGAAUGCUUGGUGUCUGGGGUUAUAAGUCCCCGGG
rnacentral:rRNA from 1 species